UGCAGAUUCUGGGGUUAAGUCCCAUCCUGUAGGCAGGUUGUGGGAUUUAGCACCAUCCUGCAGAUUCUGGGGUUAAGUCCCAUCCUGUAGGCAGGUUGUGGGGUUUAGCACCAUCCUGCAGGUUCUGGGGGUUAAGUCCCAUCCUGUAGGCAGGUUGUGGGGUUUAGCACCAUCCUGCAGAUUCUGGGGGUUAAGUCCCAUCCAGUCUGCAGGUUGUGGGAUUUAGCACCAUCCUGCAGGUUCUGGGGGUUAAGUCCCAUCCAGUCUGCAGGUUGUGGGAUUUAGCCCCAUCCUGCAGGUUCUGGGGUUAAGUCCCAUCCAGUCUGCAGGUUGUGGGGUUUAGCCCCAUCCUGCAGGUUCUGGGGUUAAGACCCUGCCCUGUGUUUGCUGAACCAUCAGUGGGCAUGGCAACACGUAUCCUGGCUACACCACUGCGUGUCUCUGUCCCUACCCAGUCUACAUCCUCUGCUUCCAUAGGUGUUGUGAUGAGAUAGCCCCUCCCCUGUCCUUGUAUGUGCAUGCACGAUGGUUCUUCCACUUAACAAUAACAAUCAAUAAAGUUUGUCAAGAUAA